GGCCCCUUAGUAUAGUGGUUAUUAUAUCGGAUUCCAAUAUCCGGCUCAACUGAGCCCAUAAACGCCAUCCGAGGGUCGCCCGUUCAAAUCGGGCAGGGGUCA